rnacentral:rRNA from 1 species
GAUGAACGCUGGCGGCGUGCUUAACACAUGCAAGUCGAACGGGCUUAUAUUGAAACCUAGUGAUAUAUAAGUUAGUGGCGGACGGGUGAGUAACGCGUGGAGAACCUGCCCUGCACAGGGGGAUAACACUUAGAAAUAGGUGCUAAGACCGCAUAAGCGCACGGGACCGCAUGGUGCAGUGUGAAAAAUGGAAACAUGGUGCAGGAUGGCUCCGCGUCUGAUUAGCUGGUUGGCGGGGUAACGGCCCACCAAGGCGACGAUCAGUAGCCGGCCUGAGAGGGUGACCGGCCACAUUGGGACUGAGACACGGCCCAA